UACGUAGGGUGCAAGCGUUAAUCGGAAUUACUGGGCGUAAAGCGUGCGCAGGCGGCUUUGCAAGGCAGAUGUGAAAUCCCCGGGCUCAACCUGGGAACUGCAUUUGAAACUAAUAAGCUAGAGUGUGGUAGAGGGAAGUGGAAUUUCCGGUGUAGCGGUGAAAUGCGUAGAUAUCGGAGGAACACCGAUGGCGAAGGCAGCCCCCUGGGUCAAGACUGACGCUCAUGCACGAAAGCGUGGGGAGCAAACGAGG
rnacentral:rRNA from 1 species